rnacentral:tRNA from 1 species
GAGGAUAUAGCUCAGUGGUAAAGUGCUUGCUUAGCAUGCAUGAGGUCCUGGGUUCAAUCCCUGGUACUUCCA